CACCCACUUGGCCUGCACACACAGCAAGCAGACGUCCAUCGCACCGCUCGCCCUGGAUUCAGCAGCAUCCUGUUAAACCGUGCAGCCUCUGAGUCACGGAAAAAAAUGCAAGUCUCGCCACUUUAGCUUCGGCUUUCAUCUUCGCCGGCCGCUCACCUCGCUCCCCUCAAUCCGAGGGCUGUUUUUCCACUCUAAGUCAUAAAGGCAGCUCUCUGCCUUGAGAGAGCAGGGGGCUCUGCUCGGCAAUCACUGCUCAACUGACAAGGCGGAUGACAGGGAAGUUAUGUUGUUCUCUUCAAAAGGAUGUCCACAGUGAGGGCGGUAAAAGGCAAUGGCUAGCAGAGGAGCUCACCGCUGCAGGAUGAGAUCAGGGGCUACACAGAAACGAUGGAGGACCUCUUUGAAGUGUGUCUCGUUGUGGAGGACGGACGGCCGCUCCAUUAGUUUUUUUUUUAACCUUCUGCUGGGGUCACUGGGUCAAUAAAGCUCUUCCAACAGCGCUGUAAUUUUGAGCUGCGGCUUUGGAAACAUUAUUUUAGACAGUAUUUACAGUUCUUCCCGUGGA